rnacentral:misc_RNA from 1 species
GAAAUGCGAUAAGUAGUGUGAAUUGCAGAAUUCAGUGAAUCAUCGAAUCUUUGAACGCACAUUGCGCCCUUUGGUAUUCCUUAGGGCAUGCCUGUUCGAGCGUCAUCUAAACCUUCAAGCCCUGCUUGGUGUUGGGUGCCUGUCCCGCCUCCGCGCGCGGACCCACCUCAAAUCCAUUGGCGGCCCCCGCGUCGGCCACGAGCGCAGCAGAAACGCGAACUCGUGAGCCCGUCCGGGCGGCUCCCAGAAGCUACACCCACCCAGUUUGACCUCGGAUCAGGUAGGGAUACCCGCUGAACUUAAGC